CUUUUAUUCCUUUACUUUCUUAAUAAACUUUCUUUCACUUUACUGUAUGGACUUGGCUCGAAUUCUUUCUCGUGCAAGGUCCAAGAACCAUUCUUGGCGUCUGGAUCAGACUCCUUUCCGGUAACAGUAGUAUAGUGUGUUUGCUGAUGAGAAGAAUCAGCAGAAAGGAAAGGCAAGAGGGUGAGAGAGAGGAGGAGGAAAAUGCAGAGGAAGUCCUCGGGUAGGAGGAGGGGGUGAGACCCAGUGAACAAAAGACGGAGCGGCCUUACUGGGAGCAGGGUGGAGCCUCAGUAACAGUUGGGUGGGGAGAGUUGGUGGUGGGGAGGUAAGGUGGUUCUCUUCCUGGUUUUUUUUCUUUUCUCAGUGAAAUAAAAAUCAAGAUGAUCAGGUGAGAAUGAGGAAGGGGAGAGGGUGCUGGGGACCCUUGGAGAGAAGAUGUUUUUGCAUCUUCUCUGCAGGUGUUCACAUCCUCUACUGGGCCCCCAGAUGCCACAUGCAAGCCAGCUGUGAGAGGGUCAAAGUCAGAUCACUGAAAUGCCUGCGAGUCACCCCCAGCGGUUCCCACAGCACUGCCUGCUGGACUGUCACUCCUCUGUUUAAAACCCUCAAAGAGCACCCACAAAGACAAGGUCUAAAUUCCUUGGCUCGGACUUGGAGCCCCAUAAUGGGCCCCCGGCGGACCCUCCGGUCUCCUCUUGUCCUGCCAAACAGGCAACUGCAGGAGAGUGGAGAGGCCUGGGGCCUCCCUGACUUGUCAGAAGCGCUCCCCCCAUCACUGAGAUGCAGGACCCAAGACAGCGCUGCUCCGGAGUGAAGGGGAGGUGCCAGCAGAGGAGCAGCCUCUACUCACCUCGGGGUGCUCCGCGAGGGCAAACAGGCCCAGUGUUGCCAGUGCUUCCCAUGUUGCCAGAGAAUCUGGAAAUGCAGAGUGUUAGAUGUUGCCGGAGCAGUUUUCUGUACUCUGCAGAUGAGCUAGUAUUAUUUUUUCAGCGCAUUCUCUUAAAGUCCCCCACUAGUAUUGUAGAGCAGGUUCUCUUCCUAUGAGUGGGUUAGACUUGCAAGACUUCCCCAAGUGAACUCUUAACAAAAUUUCUUCUUUAAUGUUUCUGCAACUCUGUUGGGAGCAGAUGGGUUCCAGAUAAGCCUAUGCCAGAGAACAGGCAAAAGGAAACCAUUUUUGCACUAACUGUUCUAUUUUGGUUUUGAGUCCUCUAACCUUCUCCUCCUUCUGCAAACUCAUUUCAUCUAAGCCUUUGCCAGGAGGACAACCCUUGCUGCUCAGAGUAGAGAGAGUGAGGAGCAGGGGCUGGGUGCGGGUGUCCACAGGGUUGGGGAAGGAAGAAGAUUCCAGUCACUUAAAAGGCGCUCCACACGUUGGGGCUGGGGAGGUGUAGAUGGUAAUCCCGUGUGGACAUUGGUCCUGUUCAGCAGCAGCCCUAAGUUGAAAGCAAUGGUGAUGUAUGAACACCAACACAGAAUGGAAACCUAGAGCUUGAUGCAUCCAAAGUCUUCCAGGCCCAACCACCUGCCUAUGUGUGCUCCAUCCCGGGCCCUAUCCAGUGGGAUCACUUGUUCCUGCAGGGCGGUGCAGAGCCAAGGACACACAAGCCACGCUGCCCCACAGGGUCUGAAGGAGUCGCCUGCUUUCCAGUGUUGUCUCUCCUCCUGCUGAAUGUCAGGAGCCCACUGACAACAGAGACUCGAGGCCGGAGCACAGUGGUGCAAUCUCAGAUCUCAGCUCCCUGCAACGUCUGCCUCCUGAGUUCAAGCGACUCUCCUGCCUCAGCCUCCUAAGUAGCUAGGACUACAGACACACACACCACCACACCCGGCUAAAUUUUGUAGUUUUGGUAGAGACGGGGUUUUGCCAUGUUGGCCAGGCUGGUCUCGACCUCCUGACCGCAAGUGAUCCACCCUCCUUGGUCUCCCAAAGUGCUGGGAUUACAGGCGUGAGCCACCAUGCCUGGCCUCCUUCUGUUUUUCAUUGUGAAAAGCAACAGUUCUGCCAGGGAGCCCUCUUUACAGCUAUUGCCUCUCUCUCAGGCUGGUGGUUAUCACAUUUUCGCCGUCCCUCCAAGUCCCGGGUGGUAUAUGCUUUUGCUUGUUGCCUGCCCUAAGGAGCACCACUAUCCCUUGUUAAAACAGUCCUCUUAUUAAACUCGCUGCAGACCUCCCUCCUGCAGAGUGCCAUCUGUUUCCUGCCUGGACCCUGCCUGGCUCAGUGACUUUUGUGCUCAGCCCCCAAGCUUUCUCUGGUUCUCUAGAGUCUGAAUCAAGCAAACCAAGUCGCAUGUUCUGUAGGCUGGAAAAGCCAUUCUGCCAUGUGUAAAACUGGAUAUUGUAAAAGAAAAAGAAUCUCACAGGAAAAGAGGCAUAAGAAGUAAGUAGUAGUCACCUUUUUGGGGUGACUGAAUUCAUAGACAAGCUGAGCAAGCAAAACACAAGGAAGAAGAUCACCUUUUUUGAGCAUCAUUUCUUUGUCAACAAAUUAAAGGGUUGAAAAAGGACCAGUC
rnacentral:lncRNA from 10 species